CUGGGUGUCUGUAAAAGAAAACAAAUGCGAACAUUAAGAUUUUUGCCAAUUGCGUUUCCAACAUCCUUGAUAUUUUGAUAAUUGUACACUAGGGCGUUUCCUGCGCAAUGAGGGUUUAUUUCUGACAUUCAGGUUUACGUUUGACCUCUAAAUGAAGUCAUUUAGAGGUCAAACGUAUUAGAUAAUCUGGGGAAACAGUUAACUUGUUUUUGACCUGCCUGCUAUUCUGACUGCUCAUGUUUUCUUUUUGCUCAGCUGGACUAUUAAGCAUUGUAGCAAUGUUGCCACGUUACGAGAUCUCAGUAAUCCUUUGGUGGGUACAAUUUCGCGGUUAACUUGAACCUGAUUCAGUCACAUUUAGUAUCUUUAUUCAGAUUGUGGUCCCAGAGUCAGUCUAAGUCCUAAAGUCCGCAAUGCUUGCUUGCCAACGACUUCAGCAUACAGCUUUCUGCCUCUUGAAGAUUCUGUUGCCCACGAUUGACUUUCAAGGUUUAACUGUUACUUUCCCAUCCGAUUACGGCUCCCAGGCAUAACGGAGCAGCACCAGGCUCAAUGACAUGGAGCAGCAUCACAGGAAGGAGGGGAGUGUAGAGAAAAGAGCCUGUGGCAGCGGCGGUGGAAUAUCUGAAGGGGGAGUUUGAGAGGGCUGGCUUCCUCCCAGCUGUGCAACACCAAACUCUAUCUUAUACAAUUAUGCUUUACAUACAGUGUAUACAUUCUUCCCUUUGAAGAGAGACUAUAAGUGGCUUUUUAAGAUACUUUGAAAUAAAAAAAAAAGAGUAGUAUUUGGUUGAGAAAAAUGAGGAAUGGGUGUUGUCUUUGUGUAAUU